rnacentral:lncRNA from 1 species
UAUUAUAUGCAGUGUGAUCCUAAUACCUCACCUAAAGUUACACUUCCUUCUAAAGAUCUGUAAAUCCAGCAACUAGUAAUAACAGCAUAGCAAGGGCCAGGACUCCACUGUCAUGCCUUAAAGAAAACUAUAAGCUGUUUGCUGCCAAAUUAGCUAAUAUAUACCCAUUUCACAAUGGAAAGAGCUUUGACAGGAAUAGAUGCAUAUUUGGGUAUGGAAUUCUUGUCCUGUCCAUAGGGUUCAUCCAGAACCAAUAUCCACAAACUGGAAUAGGACCUUACAUAACAUCAUGUCUGAUGCUCUCUAGCAUUCAGGUAAGGGAAUGGAGGAUUGACCAUGGGAUCCACUAGUUACAUAAAAACAGAAUCAACACACAGCUUCAAGUCAGACAGAGCAAUGGAAGGCUAAAGGUCCAUUGAAAGCACAGUUGGAGAUCCAUCUCAAGAGUUAAUACUACAACAUGAUGCCAUCUUCCAAGUUGUAAUGUAUCCUUUAAACCAAUAAC